CCCUCGGCUCUGCUGCCGACAGACGCACGCACACACCCUCCAAGCGUCCGCGCGCCCGCCACGCCAGAGGGGGCUCCACAGUCCACGGCCGCUGCCGCCGCUCCUGCGGUGCGGGCCGCUGGGAAAAAAAGUUCUAUUCAGCCGACCAUUGAGCCUACCGACCGCCGGCCGAGCGGUGCACCAGCCCCCUUCUCCUUACCUGGUCCCGAGGCCGCGGGGGCGCGCCGGUCCAGUCCGCACUGCAGCCAGCUUGAAGGAGCCCCUCUCCAACCGGUCCGCUCCCCUCCCGCCCUUCCCCGCCCCCCACGGGUGUUGGCCCAGUGGCAAAGCAGGCUCUUCCAGCGGGCGAAAUGAGCACGGUGAGGCUGGACUAACAUCUGUGGCAGGGCUGGGAUCCCGAAAGGGCAAUUCAGGUCAAAAGGAACCAACAGACAGCAUAUCUUACAGCCUCACGGGGUGGAUCUGUCUCCCAAGCACUGGUUUCUGAGGUCAUCACCAGUCAUCCUAGACGGCGCUGGCAAAUGUCACUUACCUCACCAUCCAGGAACCUGUGGCUCAGAACCCAUGAAGAAAAGCCUUCAAUCUCAAAUGAAAAUGUCUGGAGUGAAGCCAUCGCAAUGAGGUAGAAUGAAAUGCAAAUUUAAUUGGAUCCCGAUGAUUCCAUCCUGUAUUCAGAGGCAAUCCAAUUCUGAGGAUCUUUCUCUUUCUCUCCUCCUUACUGCCUCCCCCCCUUCUCAAUCAGUCUAAACUGUCCUAAAUAGGCUCUUUUUCUGUAUAUGACUGGGAUUAAGGGAUUUCUGGUCUCUCCAUCACUCUCAGAUACCUUGGGUACCGUCAUUGAGUGUGUCUGCUCUGGCAGAGAGUCUUGCAACUUCAUUUUGGAAGAGGUAAAAUUUGCUGUGGUUUUCCUGACCUGGGGGCUAAGUGCUGGGCUGAGCCGGGCACGCGGCAGUGGGAGGAGAGAGAGAAACUAAUGUUAGCUGUCUGGAUGUCAAUCAGAGGGGAACUUGCAAAGAGAGCAAAGCCACCACCCCUAAGAGGGGCACCUCGGAGAAAGAACUGGGCGGGCAGUGAAUGGAGGAAGGAUGGUGAUCAGGAAGGGGUGAUGAUGGCGAGGGUUAACACAGGAAGAUGAAUGUGAGCAGCAACAUUGCAGAAAGCACGAGGCAAAGGAUGAGGUGUGUCCUGGGUGUUUGAGGACUGCUUUGAAAACUCAUCUGGUCUCCUCUCCGUCUCUG
rnacentral:lncRNA from 9 species